rnacentral:rRNA from 1 species
UACGUAGGGGGCUAGCGUUGUCCGGAAUCAUUGGGCGUAAAGCGCGUGUAGGCGGCCCGGUAAGUCCGCUGUGAAAGUCGGGGGCUCAACCCUCGAAUGCCGGUGGAUACUGUCGGGCUAGAGUGCGGAAGAGGCGAGUGGAAUUCCUGGUGUAGCGGUGAAAUGCGCAGAUAUCAGGAGGAACACCGAUUGCGAAGGCAGCUUACCAAGCCGACACUGACGCUGAGGCUCGAAAGCGUGGGGAUCAAACAGG